rnacentral:rRNA from 1 species
UACGGAGGGGGCUAGCGUUGUUCGGAAUUACUGGGCGUAAAGCGCACGUAGGCGGCUUUGUAAGUUAGAGGUGAAAGCCCGGAGCUUAACUCCGGAACUGCCUUUAAGACUGCAUCGCUUGAAUCAUGGAGAGGUUAGUGGAAUUCCGAGUGUAGAGGUGAAAUUCGUAGAUAUUCGGAAGAACACCAGUGGCGAAGGCGACUAACUGGACAUGUAUUGACGCUGAGGUGCGAAAGCGUGGGGAGCAAACAGGG